UUUUCAAAGGGAAUGCUUCCAGCUUUUGGCCAUUUAGCAUGAUAUUAGCUAUGCAUUUGUCAUAAAUAGCUCUUAUUAUUUUGAGAUAUGUUCCAUCAAUACCUAGUUUAUUGAGAGUUUUUAGUAUGAGGGGUGUUGAAUUCUAUUGAAGGCCUUUUCUGCAUCUGUUGAGAUAAUCAUGCAGUUUUUGUCAUUGGUUCUGUUUAUGUGAUGGAUUACAUUUAUUGAUUUGCGUAUGUUGAACCAGCCUUGCAUGCCAGGCAUGAAGCCAACUUGAUCGUGGUGGAUAAGCUUUUUGAUGUGCUGCUGGAUUCGCUUGCCAGUAUUUUAUUCAGGAUUUUUGCAUCGAUGUUCAUCAGUGAUAUUGGCCUGAAAUUUUCUUUUUUUAUUGGGUCUCUGCCAGGUUUUGGAAUCAGAAUGAUGCUGGCCUCAUAAAAUGAGUUAGGGAGGAGUCCCUCUUUUUCUAUUGUUCAGAAUAGUUUCAGAAGGAAUGGUACCAGCUCCUCUUUGUACCUCUCGUAGAACUUGGCUGUGAAUACAUCUGGUCCUGGGCUUUUUUUGGUUGGUAGGCUAGUAAUUACUGACUCAAUUUCAGAACUUGUUAUUGGUCUAUUCAGGGAUUUGACUUCUUCCUGGUUUAGUCUUGGGAGGCUGUAUGUGUCCAGGAAUUUAUCCAUUUCUUCUAGAUUUUCUAGUUUAUUUGUCUAGAGGUGUUUACAGUAUUCUCUGAUAAUAGUUUGUAUUUCUGUGGCAUCAGUGGUGAUAUCCCCUUUAUCAUUUUUUAAUGUGUCUGUUUGAUUUUUCUCUCUUUUCUUCCAUAUUAGUCUGGCUACCGGUCUAUUUUGUUAAUCUUUUCAAAAAACCCGCUCCUAGAUUCAUUGAUUUUUUUGAAGGUUUUUUCGUGUUUCUCUCCCAUUCAGUUCUGCUGUGAUCUUAGUUAUUUCUUGUCUUAUGCUAGGUUUUGAAUGUGUUUGCCAUUGCUUCUUUUGAUUGUGAUGUUAGGGUGUCUGUUUUAGAUCUUUCCCACUUUCUGAUGUGGGCAUUUAAUGCUAUAAAUUUCCCUCUAAACACUGUUUUACCUGUGUCCUAGAUAUUCUGGUAUGUUGUGUCUUCCUUCAUCCCUUUAUUUUGA
rnacentral:lncRNA from 1 species